ACGUGGACAGACCCAUGGACCACAGAGCCCCAAAUAUUUACUGUUUUAGAAGGAAAAAAAAAAGAUUGUAAGACUUUGGCCCUAUUCAUUCCCUUAGUUACUCACAGUCCUAAUGCUUCCUCCCAAAACAAAGAAACAGCACCAAGUUCAAAUCUUGUGCAACCAACCUACCUUACCUAAACUGCUUUUGACGAGUCUUUAGUCUACUCAUGAAUUUCAGCCAGAAUACUUUGUAAACUUGCUAGAUUAUAAUGAGAUUUAAUUGGGAUUUACUAAUCUAGAUUAUGGAACUAUUUCAGAAGAGAGUCAUAUGGUGGGUGAGAAUGGAUCAGAGUAUGUAAAAAAGGAAACCUGCUAGAUAUUCUCUACAAAUGAGGUGAAGGUAUCAAUCUUUCUAAGACCUGUUUUGUCCCAUAGAUACAAACGAUUAGCAGAGGAAAAAUGUAAAAAGCUCCUUAAUGAGCACCACAAAAUGUAUUUUAAAUGAUGAGAUUUCAGUUGUUACUCUGCUAGGAGACAAUAAGCAAGGUGGAAAUAUUCAGGCAAUUAUUCUGCUUCUACAACCAAAUCAAACUGAAACAAUUUUAUCAAGUCCAGUAGAGGCUUGGCUGUGUAGCACUCUACAUCCACAUAACUCAAAUGCCACAUCAACAGGCACAGAUGAAAUGAGACCAACUGAAGUAUGGCAAAGAUGUUAACUGGGGAGAGGAAGGAGGACAGGCACUCUUCAUGUGAAGUUCUACACCUAAAAGGAAAAACCCGUAGCCCAACUCCUAGUUUUGCUGCCAAUGAGAACUUACCCAAUUUGUAAAAAAGCUGUACCAAAGCUAACCCUUGGAACAAAUCCUCCCAAUUUCCAACAUCAAGAAGAAAUGGAAAUUAACACAGGGGGCAUAUAGUUAAGGAAACAAAGUAUCACCAGGCUGGGUGGAAGAUUACAGAUUUUUAUUCUUCAUAUUUCUUUCAAGUUAUUACAUUCAACAUGUUUUGCUUUUGUGAUCAUUAAAUCAUUUAAAAAAUAAACCCCUGAUAUAAUUCCUUAAACCUAAGCAGCAUGCCAAAUAGCUAAAUGUUACCCCAGCCCAAAAAUAAUUAUUCCAAUGAGAUAUUACAUUUUUCUUAAAUCGACUGAUAAAUUAGCUGCCCCAUAAUCAUGGCAUUUAAUUAUUUGUUUUUUGGCCAGCUUUUCCAAAUAAGGCUAACUUUUUAAAACCUUUGCUACUGCAACUAACAAACAGUGAUAUGGCUAGAAUAGCCCCCCCCACCAAAAAAAAAAAAGAUUCCUGAACCAUCAAAUAGAAAAAUAAAGACAAUUUCUCUCAUUCCUAGGACACCAACAGUUCCAUCUCGCUAAUGUUAUGUUUAUGGUGUCUUGCAGGAUACUAGAUUUCCUCCAGUACUCUCCUUGAACAGUGCUAAACCACAGCACCUGUGGCUUGUUUAAGGCUUUGCACAUGGUGUUCCUCCAGCUUAGAGGUGUUCAUCUGGCUGGAAUCCAGAAGAGCAGCCCUUCCCAAGUACUUCCUUCCCUUCUCCAGGACAGAGUUGCAACUGCAGUUUGUCUGUGCCCCUCCCCCAUUAGGGCCACAGGAAAAGCCGCAUGCCAAUCUCAUUCACUUAAUCAUCCCCAAGUGGUAGUGUUGGGUACAUAGAAUACUUUUGUCAAAUUCACUGUUCCCUUAAGCUUAGGAGUUACAAAAUCAAAGACCUACAAGGGAAGAGGACUACAUAAAGGAGCAAGCGGGCCUGGAAGGGGACUCGAGCCAAGCAGAGUCCCUGAACGAGGAGAGAUGCACUCUUAUCUGGAGGCUGCUUCCUCCCGGAAGGUGAAGGGUGCUAUGCACAAUCGCUGGGCAUGGCUGCAGUUGCCAGAUCUUCACAUCAUUCAAGUUACCAGAAUUUGGGAUUUUUUUGUCAUGUGAAUCUCCUGAUUUUUUAAAAGGUUGGCACUGAAUUCAGAAUGUUUUAACCAACCACACUGUGUGGGCCAAGGAAAAGGCCCAAAAGCCAGAGAUAGCUGCCAGUUUUUGAAAUCUAUCGUGGCCUCUCCCAGAGCUCCUUUAAUCCUAAACAAGUUCAAUCACCAAACUGGCUCAUUUCAUCCCACUGGUGGUGAAAGAGUCAUCAAAACAAUGGGGGCUCUUAACAAAAUUACAAAGGAAAAAACAGAAUGCCAUAAAAUCAGGAAUUCAUAUAUUUGAAACAAAAACAGUGAAUUAUUCCACUUCAGGACUUCUAGAAUUCAAAUCAGUAGACAUGAGUCCUAUUCUAGACAUAUUUUGUGGUACAAUGAAUUUAAAUCUGGAAUUUUAGGACUUAUAAAUCACUAUGUGAUACUAGCUAUCAUCACGAGUACUGCCACCUGCACUAAAUAAAGCUCAUCUCUACAGAA